rnacentral:rRNA from 1 species
GUCUAAGGCCAUACCACCCUGAAUGCGCCCGAUCUCGUCUGAUCUCAGAAGCUAAGCAGGGUCGGGCCUGGUUAGUACUUGGACGGGAGA